GUUGAACGCUAGCGGGAUGCCUUACACAUGCAAGUCGAACGGCAGCGGGAAGUAGCUUGCUACUUUGCCGGCGAGUGGCGAACGGGUGAGUAAUGUAUCGGAACGUGCCCAGUAGCGGGGGAUAACUACGCGAAAGCGUGGCUAAUACCGCAUACGCCCUACGGGGAAAGGGGGGACGUCUUCGGAGCCUCUCACUAUUGGAGCGGCCGAUAUCGGAGUUAGUCUAGUUGGUGGGGUUAAAGGGACCGU
rnacentral:rRNA from 1 species